rnacentral:rRNA from 1 species
UGGGGAAUCUUAGACAAUGGGGGAAACCCUGAUCUAGCCAUGCCGCGUGAGCGAUGAAGGCCUUAGGGUUGUAAAGCUCUUUCACCGGGGAAGAUAAUGACGGUACCCGGAGAAGAAGCCCCGGCUAACUCCGUGCCAGCAGCCGCGGUAAUACGGAGGGGGCUAGCGUUGUUCGGAAUUACUGGGCGUAAAGCGCACGUAGGCGGAUUGGAAAGUCAGAGGUGAAAUCCCAGGGCUCAACCCUGGAACUGCCUUUGAAACUCCCAGUCUUGAGGUCGAGAGAGGUGAGUGGAAUUCCGAGUGUAGAGGUGAAAUUCGUAGAUAUUCGGGGGAACACCAGUGGCGAAGGCGGCUCACUGGCUCGAUACUGACGCUGAGGUGCGAAAGCGUGGGGAGCAAACAGG